CUUGAUCGGAGCUACGGGACCUUCAGAUCGUUCCUCGGGAAGGUGCGCCCACUUUCGCCCCGCCGCACCGAGGUU
rnacentral:sRNA from 1 species